rnacentral:rRNA from 1 species
UACGGAGGGAGCUAGCGUUGUUCGGAAUUACUGGGCGUAAAGCGCACGUAGGCGGCUUUGUAAGUUAGAGGUGAAAGCCUGGGGCUCAACCCCAGAAUUGCCUUUAAGACUGCAUCGCUUGAAUCCGGGAGAGGUGAGUGGAAUUCCGAGUGUAGAGGUGAAAUUCGUAGAUAUUCGGAAGAACACCAGUGGCGAAGGCGGCUCACUGGACCGGUAUUGACGCUGAGGUGCGAAAGCGUGGGGAGCGAACAGG